UACGAAGGGGGCUAGCGUUGUUCGGAUUUACUGGGCGGAAAGCGCACGUAGGCGGAUUGGUCAGUUAGAGGUGAAAUCCCGAAGCUCAACUCCGGAAUUGCCUUUAAGACUGCAUCGCUAGAAUUGUGGAGAGGUAAGUGGAAUUCCGAGUGUAGAGGUGAAAUUCGUAGAUAUUCGGAAGAACACCAGUGGCGAAGGCGACUUACUGGACACAUAUUGACGCUGAGGUGCGAAAGCGUGGGGAGCAAACAGG
rnacentral:rRNA from 1 species